rnacentral:rRNA from 1 species
CCUACGGGUGGCUGCAGUGGGGAAUUUUGGACAAUGGGGGCAACCCUGAUCCAGCCAUGCCGCGUGAGUGAAGAAGGCCUUCGGGUUGUAAAGCUCUUUCGGCCGGGAAGAAAUCGCGCCAGCUAAUACCUGGUGUGGAUGACGGUACCGGAAGAAGAAGCACCGGCUAACUACGUGCCAGCAGCCGCGGUAAUACGUAGGGUGCGAGCGUUCGUCGGAAGUGCUGGGCGUAUUGCGUGCGCAAGCGGUUAAAUCCCCGGGCUUAACCUGGGAACUGCGCUUGUGACUGCAAGACUUGAGUGCGGCAGAGGGGGGUGGAAUUCCACGUGUAGCAGUGAAAUGCGUAGAGAUGUGGAGGAACACCGAUGGCGAAGGCAGCCCCCUGGGUCGACACUGACGCUCAUGCACGAAAGCGUGGGGAGCAAACAGGAUUAGAUCCCCGUGUAGUC